rnacentral:rRNA from 1 species
GUCUGCAACCAAAUCACCCAUUAGAUGCGGACGACCUCGUCAGAUAUCGGAAGCUAAGCAGGGAUGAGCCUGGAUAGUGCCUGGAUGGGAUACU